rnacentral:rRNA from 1 species
GAUGAACGCUGGCGGCGUGCUUAACACAUGCAAGUCGAACGGGAAAUAUUUCAUUGAGACUUCGGUGGAUUUGAUUUAUUUCUAGUGGCGGACGGGUGAGUAACGCGUGGGUAACCUGCCUUAUACAGGGGGAUAACAGUCAGAAAUGGCUGCUAAUACCGCAUAAGCGCACAGAGCUGCAUGGCUCAGUGUGAAAAACUCCGGUGGUAUAAGAUGGACCCGCGUUGGAUUAGCUAGUUGGUGGGGUAACGGCCCACCAAGGCGACGAUCCAUAGCCGGCCUGAGAGGAUGAACGGCCACAUUGGGACUGAGACACGGCCCAGACUCCUACGGGAGGCAGCAGUGGGGAAUAUUGCACAAUGGGGGAAACCCUGAUGCAGCGACGCCGCGUGAAGGAAGAAGUAUCUCGGUAUGUAAACUUCUAUCAGCAGGGAAGAUAGUGACGGUACCUGACUAAGAAGCCCCGGCUAACUACGUG